rnacentral:rRNA from 1 species
GACAGAGGCCUCAAGCGUUAGGCGGAAUCACUGGGCUUAAAGCGUGUGUAGGCGGGUCGUUAAGUACCUUGUGAAAUCCCACGGCUCACCCGUGGAACUGCUGGGUAUACUGGCGAUCUUGGGCCAACUAGGGGCAACUGGAACAAGCGGUGGAGCGGUGAAAUGCGUAGAUAUCGCUUGGAACGCCAAAGGUGAAAACAGGUUGCUGGGGUUGUGCCGACGCUGAGACA